CAGCCGCCACGGUAAUACGGAGGGGGCUAGCGUUGUUCGGAAUUACUGGGCGUAAAGCGCACGUAGGCGGCUUGGUAAGUUAGAGGUGAAAGCCUGGAGCUCAACUCCAGAAUUGCCUUUAAGACUGCCGAGCUAGCAGGUGAGAGAGGUAAGUGGAAUACCGAGUGUAGAGGUGAAAUUCGUAGAUAUUCGGAAGAACACCAGUGGCGAAGGCGGCUUACUGGCUCAUACUGGACGCUGAGGUGCGAAAGCGUGGGGAGCAAACAGGAUUAGAUACCCCAGUAGUCCCUGUCUCUUAUAC
rnacentral:rRNA from 1 species